ACCUUCGCACCGGAUGCUGGUUCCUCCAUACACGGAUUAAAAGGGAAGUCCGGUGCUAUUCCGGCGCUAUCCCCGUAGCUGUAAAUGUCAUUUUCACUCCGGCAAACUUCAGACCACUGUCCCCCCGGGACGGGAAGGCGGGCCGGAACGACAUAAGCCAGAAGACCUGCCGGCAUCAUUCGAUAUUC
rnacentral:ncRNA from 2 species